rnacentral:rRNA from 1 species
CAAGUACCGUGAGGAAAGUUGAAAGCACUCUGAAUAGAGAGUUAAAUAGUACGUGAAACCGCUUAGGGGUUAAGCCUGAUGAACCCGAAUAUUUGAAAUGAGAAAUUCAUUAUCAUUNAGUAGUUUCAUUUGAAGCGAACAAUGAUAUGCACUUUUCUCAGUGUAAAACAUUGCAAUCUAUUUGUAUAUCCGUAUGGAUGGUUUAUCAAAUGGCCCGUAUGGUUUGUUCAUUCCUAUCAGUAACAUUUUAUGUUAUAUGGUUGAUGCCAUAGCGGUGACCUGGUAAACAGCAGAUAGUUUUUAAAAAUCAUGCAACCACAUUUUAUGUGUAUCACGGUUUAUGUGCUGUUUUCAGUGCGUGAAUGCAGUGAUAGCAUGCAUUUGAUKGGCAAUGCGAUAGGUUUGGGAACCUUCAGGACCSGUCKUGAAACACGGACCAAGAAGUCUAACAUGUGUGCGAGUCAUUGGGUAUAUUGUUGAAACCUAAGGGCGCAAUUAAAAUAACUAUUUUAUGGGAUUACAAGUGAAUUAAAUUUCAUUUCUUCAUCCCGGGGCGUUCUAUACGAACAUGGUGCAAGCAAUUGAAUCCUCUGUUCAAGAGCGUACCUUGAGCAUACAUGCUGUGACCCGAAAGAUGGUGAACUAUACCUGAUCAGAUCGAAGCCAGGAGAAAUUCUSGUGGAGGAUYGAAACAGUUCUGACGUGCAAAUCGAUYGUCARAAUUGGGUAUAGGGGCGAAAGACCAAUCGAACCAUCUAGUAGCUGGUUCCCUCCGAAGUUUCCCUCAGMAUAGCUGGCGCAAAGAAUUAUAUUGUAUAUAAUCUUAUCUGGUAA